rnacentral:rRNA from 1 species
GACGAACGCUGGCGGCGUGCUUAACACAUGCAAGUCGAACGGAAAGGCCUGCUUUCCCUUGUGGAUUGCGGGUACUCGAGUGGCGAACGGGUGAGUAACACGUGAGUGAUCUGCCCCCAACUUGGGUAUAAGCCUGGGAAACUGGGUCUAAUUCCCGAUAGGACUGCAGGGUGGUGCCUGUGGUGGAAAACGAUUUUCUAGUGGUCGGGGAUGAGCUCGCGGCCUAUCAGCUUGUUGGUGGGGUAAUGGCCUACCAAGGCGGCGACGGGUAGCCGGCCUGAGAGGGUGGACGGCCACAUUGGGACUGGGAUACGGCCCAGACUCCUACGGGAGGCAGCAGUGGGGAAUAUUGCACAAUGGGCGGAAGCCUGAUGCAGCGACGCCGCGUGGGGGAUGACGGCCUUCGGGUUGUAAACUCCUUUCGACCGCGAGGAAGCCACCUGGUUGGAAGGGUGGUGACGGUAGUGGUAGAAGAAGCACCGGCUAACUACGUG